rnacentral:tRNA from 1 species
CGGAGGGGUGGCAGAGCGGUCGAAUGCAGCCGUCUUGAAAACGGCCGGGCGAUGAGCCCCGGGGGUUCGAAUCCCCCCCCCUCCGCCC